rnacentral:tRNA from 1 species
UCCCUGGUGGCUCAGGCGCUAAAAGCGUCUGCCUACAAUGCAGGAGACCCAGGAUCAACCCCUGGGUGGGGAA